UACAGAGGGUGCGAGCGUUGUCCGGAAUUACUGGGCGUAAAGGGCUCGUAGGCGGCCAACUAAGUCAGACGUGAAAUCCCCAGGCUCAACCUGGGAACUGCGUCUGAUACUGGAUGGCUUGAAUCCGGGAGAGGGAUGCAGAAUUCCAGGUGUAGCGGUGAAAUGCGUAGAUAUCGGGAGGAACAUCAGUGGCGAAAGCGGCUCACUGGACCACAACUGACGCUGAGGCGCGAAAGCUAGGGGAGCAAACAGG
rnacentral:rRNA from 1 species